rnacentral:rRNA from 1 species
GACGAACGCUGGCGGCGUGCUUAACACAUGCAAGUCGAACGGAAAGGCCCUGCUUUUGUGGGGUGCUCGAGUGGCGAACGGGUGAGUAACACGUGAGUAACCUGCCCUUGACUUUGGGAUAACUUCAGGAAACUGGGGCUAAUACCGGAUAGGAGCUCCUGCUGCAUGGUGGGGGUUGGAAAGUUUCGGCGGUUGGGGAUGGACUCGCGGCUUAUCAGCUUGUUGGUGGGGUAGUGGCUUACCAAGGCUUUGACGGGUAGCCGGCCUGAGAGGGUGACCGGCCACAUUGGGACUGAGAUACGGCCCAGACUCCUACGGGAGGCAGCAGUGGGGAAUAUGGCACAAUGGGCGGAAGCCUGAUGCAGCAACGCCGCGUGCGGGAUGACGGCCUUCGGGUGGUAAACCGCUUUCGCCUGUGACGAAGCGUGAGUGACGGUAAUGGGUAAAGAAGCACCGGCUAACUACGUG